AUGACAAAAAGCAACCUUGCAGGAAUGGAGGACUCUGGCCAGAGCUGUGCCCCUGCUUGCCACAGGAGCUGCGCGGGAGGAGAAGAAUGUGGGCCAAAAGGAAUGGAGGACUCUGGCCAGAGCUGUGCCCCUGCUUGCCACAGGAGCUGCGCGGGAGGAGAAGAAUGUGGGCCAAAAGGUAAGAGGAGCUCCUUUGGGUUCUGGCUUGAAGCAAAGCUGAGAAGCCAUGCCCGGAGGAGGUGUGGGUAGCUACAGGCCAGCUUGCUAUCUCCCCAAGAGAUGAGGUGUGUGGGCUAGGCACCGGGCAGGAGUGCUGGCCAGAAGCAAGCAUCUCUGUGGAGGAAAGGCAAAGGGCGGAGGAGGUUCAAGGGUAGCUACCGGGCAUGGCCUUGCUCAGCAAGGGGAGGAAAAGCGUGAAGGCACGAGAAGGGGACAGAGAAGGGCAGGCAGUAGGCGUGAAGCUGUGAGCAGAGUAGAGAGCAACUUGGCAGAGCAGCACGCAGAGUAGGCAAGUGUUGGGGUUUGGCGUGAGUAGCAGCAAAAGCCCAUAGCAUCAAGGAGCAGGAAGUGAGGAGAAGGUAAGUGAAGGGCAGGCAAGGUACUGGAGGCAAAGGCAGGGGAAAGGGGAGGGUAAGGGAGAAAAGAGGGGAUGGG
rnacentral:lncRNA from 7 species